GGCUGGUCUGAAGGUAGUCAGUUAUCUCAAUUGUUCACAGUCAGUUACAGAUAGAACCCUUGUUCUACUCUUUCCCCCUUCUCACUACUGCAGUUAACUAGCCUUGA
ensembl:misc_RNA Y_RNA Y RNA